rnacentral:rRNA from 1 species
UCCUACGGGAGGCAGCAGUGGGGAAUAUUGCACAAUGGGCGCAAGCCUGAUGCAGCAACGCCGCGUGAGGGACGAAGGCCUUCGGGUUGUAAACCUCUUUUAGUAGGGAAGAAGCGACUGGGUUUUCCUGGGAGUGACGGUACCUGCAGAAAAAGCACCGGCUAACUACGUGCCAGCAGCCGCGGUAAUACGUAGGGUGCAAGCGUUGUCCGGAAUUAUGGGGCGUAAAGAGCUCGUAGGCGGUUUGUCGCGUCUGCUGUGAAAACCCGAGGCUCAACCUCGGGCCUGCAGUGGGUACGGGCAGACUAGAGUGCGGUAGGGGAGAUUGGAAUUCCUGGUGUAGCGGUGGAAUGCGCAGAUAUCAGGAGGAACACCAAUGGCGAAGGCAGAUCUCUGGGCCGUAACUGACGCUGAGGAGCGAAAGCAUGGGGAGCGAACAGGAUUAGAUACCCUGGUAGUCCAUGCCGUAAACGUUGGGAACUAGAUGUGGGGGACCAUUCCACCGUCUCCGUGUCGCAGCUAACGCAUUAAGUUCCCCGCCUGGGGAGUACGGCCGCAAGGCUAAAACUCAAAGGAAUUGACGGGGGCCCGCACAAGCGGCGGAGCAUGCGGAUUAAUUCGAUGCAACGCGAAGAACCUUACCAAGGCUUGACAUAUACCGGAAACGGCUGGAAACAGUCGCCCCGCAAGGUCGGUAUACAGGUGGUGCAUGGUGUCGUCAGCUCGUGUCCUGAGAUGUUGGGUUAAGUCCCGCAACGAGCGCAACCCUCGUCCUAUGUUGCCAGCACGUAAUGGUGGGAACUCAUGGGAUACGGCCGGGGUCAACUCGGAGGAAGGUGGGGAUGACGUCAAAUCAUCAUGCCCCUUAUGUCUUGGGCUUCACGCCUGCUACAAUGGCCGGUACAAAGGGCUGCGAUACCGCAAGGUGGAGCGAAUCCCAAAAAGCCGGUCUCAGUUCGGAUUGAGGUCUGCAACUCGACCUCAUGAAGUUGGAGUCGCUAGUAAUCGCAGAUCAGCAACGCUGCGGUGAAUACGUUCCCGGGCCUUGUACACACCGC